rnacentral:lncRNA from 10 species
UAGCUCUUCUGGUUGAAUUGAACCCUUUACCAACAGGUAGUGCUCUUCUUUGUCUUUUUUGAUCUUUGUUAAUUUAAAGUCUGUUUUGUUAGGAACUAGGAUUGCAAGCUCUGUUUUUUUCUGCUUUCUGUUUGCUUGGUAAAUUUUCCUCCAUCCCUUUAUUUUUAGCCUAUGUGUUUCUUUGUGUGUGAGAUGGGUCUCUUGAAUACAGCAUACUGAUGGGUCUUGGUUCUUUAUCUAGCUUGCCAUUCUGUGUCUUUCAUUGGAAAACACAUUGAGAUUUAAGAAAGAUCAUCUUCAAGCUCUGAGAUUCUUUUCUUGGCCUAUUCUGCUGUUAAUAAUUGUGAUUUCAUUGUGAAGUUCACUCAGCUCUAACAGUGCUGGGAUUACAAGCGUGAGCUACCACACCCAGCGAGGAAGCCAAGUUUAACGUGUGUGCUCCACUCCUCCAACCUGGCCAAAGGGCAGUCAUCAUCACUGGCCACUGCUGACCACAGCCUUUAGAAACUCCCCUUGAACGUGCUGGGCUGACCUUCCUCUGAUCACAGGCAAGGCAAAGGAAAACGACAGGCCCUUGCCUUCCCGGUCCUCAAGGGUCAGCUGUAAGAUGAUGUCAUAAAGCCAGAUCAGGUCCUGGGGCCGGGGGAAGCACUUGCUGUCAUCCUCUGGCUGCUGCUGCAGCAGAGCCCUCUGCAGACCUUUGGCCAUGCUCUCAUUACGCUUGAUUGCCAUUGACAGCUUGAUGUUGUAGAUGAGCAUGAGAGUGUGGAGCAGA